AACGAACGCUGGCGGCGUGCCUAACACAUGCAAGUCGAACGGAAUUUGAGAGCUUGCUCUUAAAUUUAGUGGCGCACGGGUGAGUAACGCGUAGAUAAUCUGCCUGACGAUCUGGGAUAACACUUCGAAAGAGGUGCUAAUACCGGAUAAGCCCACGGGUUCUUUGGAAUCUGCGGGAAAAGGGGGGGACCUUCGGGCCUUCUGUCGUCAGAUGAGUCUGCGUACCCUUAGCUGGUUGGUAGGGUAAAGGCCUACCAAGGCGACGAUGGUUAGCUGGUCUGAGUGGAUGAUCAGCCACACUGGAACUGAGACACGGUCCAGACUCCUACGGGAGGCAGCAGUGGGGAAUUUUGCGCAAAGGGCGAACGCCUGACGCAGCAACGCCGCGUGAGUGAUGAAGGCUUUCGGGUCGUAAAGCUCUGUCAAUGGGAAAGAAGUGUAUUUUGGCUAAUAUCCUUAAUACUUGACGGUACCCAUAAAGGAAGCACCGGCUAACUCCGUGCCAGCCGCCGCGGUAAUAC
rnacentral:rRNA from 1 species